CAGCAGCCGCGGUAAUACAGAGGGUGCGAGCGUUAAUCGGAUUUACUGGGCGUAAAGCGUGCGUAGGCGGCUUUUUAAGUCGGAUGUAAAAUCCCUGAGCUUAACUUAGGAAUUGCAUUCGAUACUGGGAAGCUAGAGUAUGGGAGAGGAUGGUAGAAUUCCAGGUGUAGCGGUGAAAUGCGUAGAGAUCUGGAGGAAUACCGAUGGCGAAGGCAGCCAUCUGGCCUAAUACUGACGCUGAGGUACGAAAGCAUGGGGAGCAAACAGGAUUAGAGACCCCCGUAGUCCCUGUCUCUUAUAA
rnacentral:rRNA from 1 species